GUGACUCUGAGAAGCAGUUAAGGCAGAGAGAGGUCGGUUACAGCUCAGCACACGGGUGUGUCUACAGGAGACCUGACUUUGGGCUCUAUGUCAAGUGCAUGGGAGUUCAGGGUGUCUAGCUGCUGCUGUGUACCAGGCUGGAAGGAUGAAUCGAGCCCAGAACCGAUGGAGUUCUGCAGGAUCCCAGUCUGGCUGGAAGUGAAUGCCUGGGUUGAGAGGGUGGGGGAGGAGAAGGCCUUCUCCCAGGACCUUCAAUGAAACAGCUUUUCAAGAUGA
rnacentral:lncRNA from 1 species